rnacentral:rRNA from 1 species
GCUGAGGCUACACAUGCAGUCGAGCGCGCCCUUCGGGGUGAGCGGCGGACGGGUUAGUAACGCGUGGGAAUAUACCCGACACUAAGGAAUAGCCUCUGGAAACGGAGAGUAAUACCUUAUACGCCCUUCGGGGGAAAGAUUUAUCGGUGACGGAUUAGCCCGCGUUAGAUUAGAUAGUUGGUGGGGUAAUGGCCUACCAAGUCUACGAUCUAUAGCUGGUUUUAGAGGAUGAUCAGCAACACUGGGACUGAGACACGGCCCAGACUCCUACGGGAGGCAGCAGUGGGGAAUCUUGGACAAUGGGCGCAAGCCUGAUCCAGCCAUGCCGCGUGAGUGAUGAAGGCCUUAGGGUCGUAAAGCUCUUUCGCCAGAGAUGAUAAUGACAGUAUCUGGUAAAGAAACCCCGGCUAACUCCGUGCCAGCAGCCGCGGUAAUACGGAGGGGGUUAGCGUUGUUCGGAAUUACUGGGCGUAAAGCGCGCGUAGGCGGAUUAGUCAGUUAGAGGUGAAAUCCCGGGGCUCAACCCCGGAACUGCCUUUAAUACUGCUAGUCUUGAGUUCGAGAGAGGUGAGUGGAAUUCCGAGUGUAGAGGUGAAAUUCGUAGAUAUUCGGAGGAACACCAGUGGCGAAGGCGGCUCACUGGCUCGAUACUGACGCUGAGGUGCGAAAGUGUGGGGAGCAAACAGGAUUAGAUACCCUGGUAGUCCACACCGUAAACGAUGAAUGCCAGUCGUCGGGUAGCAUGCUAUUCGGUGACACACCUAACGGAUUAAGCAUUCCGCCUGGGGAGUACGGUCGCAAGAUUAAAACUCAAAGGAAUUGACGGGGGCCCGCACAAGCGGUGGAGCAUGUGGCUUAAUUCGAAGCAACGCGCAGAACCUUACCAACCCUUGACAUCCUGUGCUACAUCCAGAGAUGGAUGCGUUCCCUUCGGGGACGCAGUGACAGGUGCUGCAUGGCUGUCGUCAAGCUCGUGUCGUGAGAUGUUCGGUUAAGUCCGGCAACGAGCGCAACCCACAUCCUUAGUUACCAGCGGUUCGGCCGGGAACUCUAAGGAAACUGCCCGUGAUAAGCGGAGAAUGUGUUGAUGACGUCAGUCCUCAUGGCCCUUACGGGUUGGGCUACACACGUGCUACAUUGGCAGUGACCAUGGGUUAUCCCCAA